GGGUCUACGACGGGUGGGAUGCCGUCCUGGUUAUUCCCAGUCACAAGACUUAAUCAUGCAGGGGGACAGAGAUCCCAUCUUUAGCCAUUUGCUGAUGUCUCUACUGGUGGGUGGAAAGAAGAAGACAUUUCUUACAUAAUGGCGUUGACAUUGCGGUCCAAGCGAGGAGAGGUGCAGCCCAGGAUUUCCCCCGGCGACAGAGGUCGACACUGCGGGACCAGAACCUCAUAGUCCGUCUUGAGGGCGGCGCUCACAGCCUGCGGCACGGAGACACAAAGCCACCCGCUAACAGACAAGGACUUCAAGGACCUCAACGAAGAUGAGAUGACAACACGCAGACGAAGCGGGGACAAGGCGAAAACACAAUGCUCCCGUGACGUACUGUGCGUCCUGGACCUGCUCUGCAUAAUAUAUGUGACCACUCCUUUUAGAGGCGGCCUCAGUGAUGUUGACUAUGGAACUCUGAAUAAAAAGAGGGACGCGGCAGCUGGACCUUAGAGCGUAGGGCGAGACUGUGACUAAGUGUUCAGCGCCGUGCGUUCUCCUCAUGAGCUAAAUUGAA